rnacentral:rRNA from 1 species
UACGGGGGGAGCAAGCGUUGUUCGGAUUUACUGGGCGUAAAGGGUGCGUAGGCGGACAUUUAAGUCAGAUUUGAAAUACCCGAGCUUAACUUGGGUGCUGCAUUUGAAACUGGGUGUCUAGAGUGCAGGAGAGGUAAGUGGAAUUCCUAGUGUAGCGGUGAAAUGCGUAGAGAUUAGGAAGAACACCAGUGGCGAAGGCGACUUACUGGACUGUAACUGACGCUGAGGCAUGAAAGCGUGGGGAGCAAACAGG